rnacentral:rRNA from 1 species
AUACGUAGGGUGCAAGCGUUACUCGGAAUCACAUGGCGUAAAGCGCGCGCAGGCGGUCUUUUAAGUUGGAUGUGAAAGCCUACGGCUCAACCGUAGAACUGCAUCCAAAACUAUUAGACUAGAGUGUGGGAGAAGAAGAUGGAAUUAGUUGUGUAGGGGUAAAAUCCGUAGAGAUAACUAGGAAUACCAAAAGCGAAGGCAAUCUUCUGGAACACUACUGACGCUGAGGCGCGAAAGCGUGGGGAGCAAACAGGAUUAGAAACCCUUGUAGACC